AUUAGUAAGUAAGAGUCCUAUUCAAUAUAGGAAAACGCACUAAUAAAAAGAAUUUACGCUACCAUGUUCUAAAAUUUAUAUAGUACCAUAUUCUAAUGUAAAAACACUAAUAAGUACCCUAUAACUGAAAAACUUAAAUCCAUGCUCGGAUAGCACGUCGAUGCCCGUUGACUUAAUAAUAAUAAUAUAUAUAUAAAAAAAGAAACUAUAGCCGAAAUUAAGAAGUUAUAGACUUCUAGUAAUAACUAAAUCACUAUGCUAUUUGGAAUCUCGCAACUAUAAUGGCCCCGGAUAAAGAGAGCGAGCAAGGGAGAGAAGAGCUUAAAUUGAGGCGCUUAGUAACUUCUCCCUCUCUCUUUGUUGGCUUGUUGAAUCUCCUUCAGGUUCAGUUCCACUCAUCAUUCAUUAUGAGCAACGGGAAGGACAACUUCAGUGUUGCCGAUCUCAGCGCUGCUUUGAAUGCGGGGGACCGAGCAGACCUUGUCAAUGUACUCAAAAGUAAACUUCAGGAUCUUACUGGGAAACACUCAGAUGUACUUGAAAAUUUGUCCCCCAUUGUCAGGAAGCGUGUUGAGGUUCUCAGGGAGAUUCAGACUCAACAUGACGAUUUGGAGGCAAAAUUUUUUGAAGAGAGAGCUGCACUUGAAGCCAAAUACCAGAAGCUUUAUCAACCAUUAUACACAAAGAGAUUUGAAAUUGUGAAUGGGGUUAUUGAAGUUGAAGGGGCAACAACCGAGGCUGCAGUAGCAGACCAGCAAGUGGAUAAGGAUGCAGUGGAGAAAGGUGUCCCUGAUUUUUGGAUCACGGCUAUGAAAAAUAACGAUGUGCUAUCUGAGGAGAUUACCGAGCGAGAUGAAGAAGCUCUCAAAUUCCUCAGGGAUAUAAAGUGGUCCAAGAUUGAUGAUCCAAAGGGUUUCAAGCUUGAAUUCUUCUUCGAGGCUAAUCCUUACUUCAAAAACACUUUGCUGACUAAAACCUAUCACAUGAUUGAUGAAGAUGAACCAAUUCUGGAGAAGGCGAUUGGGACUGAGAUAGAAUGGUAUCCUGGAAAAUGCUUGACACAGAAGAUUCUAAAAAAGAAGCCAAAGAAGGGGUCAAAGAAUGCCAAGCCUAUCACUAAAACAGAGCAGUGUGAAAGUUUCUUCAACUUCUUUUGUCCUCCUCAAGUACCGGAGGAUGAAGAGGAUAUUGAUGAAGAUGCUGCUGAAGAACUUCAGAAUUUGAUGGAACAAGAUUAUGAUGUUGGGUCAACAAUUCGAGAUAAAAUCAUUCCACAUGCAGUUUCAUGGUUCACUGGGGAAGCUGCUGAGGAUGAUGAUUAUGCUGACUUGGAAGAUGACGAGGAUGAAGAUGAUGAAGAGAAUGAGGAGGAUGAAGAAGAUGAGGAUGAAGAAGAAGAUGAG
rnacentral:misc_RNA from 1 species